rnacentral:rRNA from 1 species
GCCAGGCCGAGGGGCGCACCCGACAGGAGACCCGGGGGCCCGAAGAGGGGGAUGCCCCAGCGAUACGGAGCGGGCGAGGGUCCCCACCGAUACGCCACUCUCCGGAGCACAGCAGGAAAUGCGCAAUGGUGAAACCGACCAGCACCGCGUGGGGAGAAGCUUUCGAGUUGAACCCCUUCUGGGGAGAGAAGACGGUACCCAGGAAUAAAUCUCGGCUAACUACGUGCCAGCAGCCGCGGUAAGACGUAGAGCGAGCGUUAUCCGUUCGAUAUGCGCGUAGUUAUCGCAGGCGGCUCGUAAGUCUGUCGUUAAGCGUGGAGCUUAACUCCAUUUCAGCGAUGGAAACUGCGAGGCUUGAGUGUGGUAGGGGCAGAGGGAAUUCCCGGUGUAGCGGUGAAAUGCGUAGAUAUCGGGAAGAACACCAGUGGCGAAGGCGCUCUGCUGGGCCAUAACUGACGCUCAUGGACGAAAGCCAGGGGAGCGAAAGGGAUUAGAUACCCCUGUAGUCCUGGCCGUAAACGAUGAACACUAGGUGUCGGGGGAAUCGACCCCCUCGGUGUCGUAGCCAACGCGUUAAGUGUUCCGCCUGGGGAGUACGCACGCAAGUGUGAAACUCAAAGGAAUUGACGGGGGCCCGCACAAGCGGUGGAGUAUGUGGUUUAAUUCGAUGCAACGUGAAGAACCUUACCAGGGGUUUGACAUCCUGCGAAUCUCUUGGAAACGAGAGAGUGCCUUCGGGAGCGCAGUGACAGGUGGUGCAUGGCUGUCGUCAGCUCGUGUCGUGAGAUGUUGGGUUAAGUCCCGCAACGAGCGCAACCCACGUCGUUAGUUGCCAGCAUUUAGUUGGGCACUCUAGCGAGACCGCCGGUGAUAAACCGGAGGAAGGUGUGGAUGACGUCAAGUCAUCAUGCCCCUUACAUCCUGGGCUACAACACGUACUACAAUGCUACGGACAAAGGGCAGCAAGCUCGCGAGAGUUAGCAAAAUCCCAUAAACCGGUGGCUCAGUUCAGAUCGUAGGCU